GUUAUUAGGGGUCUUGGCUAGAUUGCUUCUGGGAGCAAGGAGGUUUGGGCUGGCUGUGGGGCUGCUGUCUGGACAGGAGGGCGCUCAGUGUGUCUAGGCUUGCAGGGUGCUGAGAAGCAAGGAUCAGCAAGAGGAAACUGGGAGAAAUGCAGAGAAAAGAUCUCCCAUUGAGACCUGGUGAUGUAUUUGUCAGUGCUAUCUGCUCUGCAGUGAGGGCGCUCGGUCUCCAGCGGACGACAUCUUCAGUAGUGUGCUGAUAAGCAGCAGACGUGGGCACCUCAAGAAAGCGUGCAGAGAAGUAUUGGAGAUGGCUGGAUAAACAUGUAGCAAGCGCUGUACUAGUAGCACUAACAAAAAAACAAGCUGUGGAUCUAGUGUUCGUGCACCUAAAACUUGCCUAGGAGGGAACAACAGCACAGAAAAGAUGCAGACAGAAGAAAUCCUUGCUGCUGGAAGCAAGAAAUCAGAGGCAGGAGGCCAGUGUAUGUGGUUGUGCUCAGCUACCUGCCAAGAAUAUUGUCAGGGCAAUAUCCUGCCCUGCUCCACCUCUGAGCGCUGCUAUUUCAUUAAUCUCAUGUCAUCUCUGUCUUUGCUGAUACCGUUGCAAUAUUGCAGAAGUCCCUGCUCGCGGGGACCCGAGAUGCUGGCAGAAGCGCUUCCCCCUGCCCCGUGCAGUAAGCAGCUGUGAGCCCCACGGCUGCCAGCAGGCUGUUUGUGUCUCGUGUCCUCCUGAGCUCUUGCAGGCAGGGGUGCCUGUAAAGCAGCUCACACAAACACAGCUGGUUCUUGUCAUCAAGCCCUUCAAAAUCUCAGGGACAUUCAGCAAGGUCUAGGUGAAGAUGCAUCCCCAUAGCAGACACCAAAAUGUUACAGCACGUUGGCCAGUGCUGGCAGUGGUUACUGGUGGUGCUGAGUGUCACUUCCAAUUCUGUGUGCACAGCUCCCUCAGAUGCACCUUUUUCUCCUCAGUUCCCUACACAGACCUUGUGCUGCUCUUGCUCUUUCUGCCAGCCUCCUGGGGUGGCCCUGCUGGCUCUUCCACCUGCUGGUGGCUGGGGAUGGCCCCUGUCAUUGUGAUCAUGAUUUGUGGAGCCUCAUUAGCUGCAGACAGAUGAGGAGUCAGGUGAAUUCUUCCCUCUGACUCCUAAAAUGCCAUUUUAAUGCAUAAUUUGUGUCUGGGAGUAGAUCUGUUCUCAUCGAGAUGUGGGGCAGAGCAUGCUGCUGCAUCAUAAGCGCGUUGUUACAGGACCCAGUGCCCGUGCCGUGUGAAUGACAAGCCUAACGAGUGCUGUGCGGGGAGCAGGGCUGACACCUCCCCUCCGUCACGCCAGCGCAGCCUCCGCUAGCUGCACGAGGGAUUUCUCUCCCAAGCGCAGUAGUGACAAAUUACAGGAUCGAUACGGAGGCUGAUCUGUGGUCUAAUCUUGCUCAGCCCUGGUAAGCCCAGAAUUGAUCCAGAUCUAAUCUUGCUGAUCCUGGGCAAACCCAGGAGCAGAUCCAGAUUCUAAUGUAACAUAUCCUGUGCAAAUCCAGAAUAGCUCGAUCGAUGUCCUCAUGUCAUCACUCCAGUUCCUCCUCCCUUUGAAGGGGUUUAUCUGCGUUAUCUGCCCCUUGAUGUGUAAGGCAAUUGAACCGGUCAUCCUGAUUAAUUCCCAGUCAUUAGUGACUGGUGUCUCCUUCCAGAGACCGCAGUGCCUUGCUCCAACUGUGGAGCAGUGGGAUUUCUGUGUGUAAUCCUGAUAUCACAGAGCUGCGAUGGAGCUCUGCAUGGCUAGAGAAGGUGUACUCUGUAGAUAAGGCUUCUGUGCACAUCUGGAGUGCUCCUUGGUCUCCUCUCAGGCUGUGGAAGUUUCCUUUGUCCUCUGCCCAUGCCUUCAGUGGGGAGAAGGGCUGUGACAUCUGUCUCCAUGCUUUGCCACGUUGCCCUGAAAAGCUGGUCAUCGCAGCCUGCUGGCCUCGCACGCAGCCUGUGACAGUGGCUUGGGCUCCUCCAGAGGGAGGAGCAGCAGACCUGCGUGCAAGUCAAGGGCCUUCUGCUGCAGGGCCCUCUUGCAACUCUAAUAACUUCAGGGAGGAGGAAAAAAAAAAAAGCAAUUACCUUCUGGGCAGAAUUUCUCCAGCCUUUACUUAGCUCACUGGGGAAUUUGUCAGGAACUAGUACUGCAGUUUUAUUCAGCUAUUCCUGAGUUAUACCAGCACAGGGAAAAUGGCAUGUCUCACAGCUUGAUGUUUUUCUGAUGUCUUUCUUUGCUCUCAGGUUUAAAAAAAAAUAAAAUAAAAAAUACCAGACCCCAAAGAUCACUCUUCAAAACGUAAAA